AUGGUCUACGGGCCCACGGGCUCCGGGAAGAGCCACACUAUGUUCGGCUCGGACGAGCAGCCCGGCGUCGUGUACCGCGCGCUCACGGACGUCCUAGAGGGAGGCGGCGACGGCGACGGCGAGAGCCUCGUGAGGGUCUCCGUGCUCGAGAUCUACAAUGAGCAGGUCUACGAUCUGCUCGCCGGCAGCGGAGGAGCCAAUCCCAAGGUAAGGCUAGAACUGAUGGGAACAAGAGCCAAGAAUGCAGCAUAUAUAUCUGGAAAUGAAGCAGGGAAGCUAUCAAGAGAAGUCGCCGAUGUGGAGAAGCGGCGCGCUGCGAAGGGCACGAGCUGUAACGCGAGGAGUUCGCGGAGCCACUGCAUGAUAAUCUUGGAUGUGCCAUCAGUAGGAGGAAGGCUCAUGCUCGUGGACAUGGCUGGCUCUGAGAACAUAGAAGCUGCAGGCCAAACUGGACAUGAAGCCAAAUCUGAGACGGGAAGAAUUAAUCAAGGGAACACGACGCUGAAGCGGGUGGUUGAGUCGAUUGCCAACGGUGACUCACAUGUCCCAUUCCGGGACAGCAAGCUCACAAUGCUACUACGGGACUCAUUCGAUGACGAGGGAUCCAAAAUCCUCAUGAUCCUGUGUGCAAGCCCUGACCCAAAGGACCUCCACAAGACGAUCUCCACCCUGGAGUAUGGAGCCCGAGCGAAAUGCACCCGUGCAGCAGCUCACGCCUCGACACCGUCGGGCAAGAUGAGCUCCAAAGACGCCGGGUACGAGAUGCGGUUGAAGGACGAGGAGAUUGCACGUCUGAGGAUGAAGGUCAGGUUGAUGGAAGCAGCCGCGAAGGAGGAAGAGAUCCGCGUGAAGGCCGUAGAUGAGGAGACCCGGGUACUGAGAAGUGAGAUGAGGAUGAUGGAAGAGAAUAUGCUUAUGCAGCACCAGGAGCUCCUUGCUGUGAAUCAGCGGCUGCAGCAGGUGGAGCGCGAGAAGCUCGACGUGGAGGAUGAGUCGCACCUGGCCUGGAGGGUCAUGAUGAAACUUGCAGUCUACUUGCAAAACCUGGGCAGCCCACUUGAGUGA
rnacentral:rRNA from 1 species